rnacentral:rRNA from 1 species
CAAGAGCGUAUAUUAAAGUUGUUGCAGUUAAAAAGCUCGUAGUUGGAUUUCUGGUACGCUGCGCCUGGCCCGCCCACGUUAGUGGUUUGAGUGUCGGUGCGCGGUUGCCAUCCUUCUAGAGAACGUGUCUACCUUUAAUUAGGCCGGGCUACGGGAUCUAGAUCAUUUACUUUGAAAAAUUAGAGUGUUUAAAGCAGGCUUUUGCUAUGAAUACAUUAGCAUGGAAUAAUAAUAUAGGACUUUGGUUCUAUUUUGUUGGUUUCUAGGACUAAAGUAAUGAUUGAUAGGGGAUAGUUGGGGUGCUAGUAUUCAGCGGGCCAAGAGGUGAAAUUCUUGGAUUCGCUGAAGACUAACUU